rnacentral:rRNA from 1 species
AUAACCUGCCCUUUGGAGGGGGGAGUAACGUUCCGAAAGGAGCGCUAAUACCGCAUACAGCAAGAGCCGGUUUGCCGGUUUUGGCAAGGUAGGGACCCGCAAGGGCCUACCGCCAGAGGAGGGGUCUGCGGCCCAUCAGCUAGUUGGUGAGGUAAUGGCUCACCAAGGCAGAGACGGGUAGCUGGUCUGAGAGGAUGAUCAGCCACACUGGUACUGGAACACGGACCAG